GAAAGGCCUGAGCAGGGGCUUCUGGAAGCUUCCUGAGGCACUGCAGAGCGACCGCAAGCAUUAGUCAGCAGGGAAAGGCAGGAGGGCGCGCAGGGACACAGGAAAGCCUUCGAAGUGUUGGCCAUCUGGAGGGUGAAUGGAGCGGCCAUCACCUCUACCACUGUCACCGCAGCACAGCUCGGCCCCGGGGAAGGGAGGGAGGCAGUUGCUUCCAGAGCCAUCUAUUCAGGAAGUUCUCAGCAACUUGUUCACAAGGAAUGUCCAGCUCUGUCUCACUGCCGUCAAGCGUUUCUCUGGAAUCAAUUCUGUUAACGCCAUUCAUCCAUUCACCAGAAGUCAUAGAGAGCUCACUCAUCUGCCAAGUAGUAUUUGUCACAUUGGAUGGAGAUAAUAAAAAAUGAAAAGGCAUGGCCCGGCCUUGGACCUGGCAGUAUUUCAAAGCCCGUGGCUCCAUUCAGAAGUGUUGGCCCUUCUUCCUUUUUAGCUCCUAUCCUCUCUCUGGCUUCAGAGCCUGGGUGUUUCUGCUUCCGCAUGUCCCUGUUCAUUCUUUUUCUCCCUCUUUUUUUCUUUCUGUGUGGGGGAUGGAACCCAGAGCCUUUUGCAUGCUAGGCAAGUGCUCUACCACUGAGCUGCAGCCCCAGCCCUUUUUAUUCUGAGACACAGUCUUGCUAAAUUUGCUCAAGGUGGCCUUGAAUUGUGAUCCUCCUGACUCAGCCCCACUGAGCAGCUGGGAUUACAAGUGUGUGCCAUUAUACCCAGUUCUCUUUUUCUUCUUUCUAGAAGUAUUCCAAGCAUGUAAACAGGUAUACAGGAGACAGGCACAAUGGCACAAACCUAUCAUCCCAGCAUCUUGAGAAGCUGAGGCAGGACUAAAAAUUUGAGGCCAACCUCAGCAGCUUUGUGAGAUUCUGUCCCAGCAUAACUUCUUUUUGUUGUUGUUGUUUUGUUUUGUUU
rnacentral:lncRNA from 1 species